rnacentral:rRNA from 1 species
CAACGUGAACAACCUGCCUUCAGGAUGGGGACAACAGACGGAAACGACUGCUAAUACCGAAUAAGUUCCAAGGGCCGCAUGGCCCAUGGAAGAAAAGGUGGCCUCUACCUGUAAGCUAUCGCCUGAAGAGGGGUUUGCGUCUGAUUAGCUGGUUGGAGGGGUAACGGCCCACCAAGGCGACGAUCAGUAGCCGGUCUGAGAGGAUGAACGGCCACACUGGAACUGAGACACGGUCCAG